rnacentral:rRNA from 1 species
UACGUAGGGUGCAAGCGUUGUCCGGAAUUAUUGGGCGUAAAGAGCUCGUAGGCGGUCUGUCGCGUCUGCUGUGAAACUCAGGGCUUAACCCUGAGCUUGCAGUGGGUACGGGCAGACUAGAGUGCGGUAGGGGAGACUGGAAUUCCGUGGUGUAGCGGUGAAAUGCGCAGAUAUCAGGAGGGAACACCGGUGGCCGAAGGCGGGUCUCUGGGCCGGUAACUGACGC